UAUUUGCCUGGGUAUCACCAGCGGAGACAACAGAACGCAAAGAUUGCUGCCUGUUCCUUCCUCUGGAAGCUUUGUCGCAGAGGGACACCCACUAGAUGACAGCUGGAGCUCUUCUGUAUGAGGACUUUUAAUCAGAAAAGCAAAUAUAUAGGAGCGAUCGGGUCAGAUUAACAUGUUUGACCAACGUCAACCAGUGCAGAAACUGGGCUUCUCCAAACACUGGUGGAGCCACACCUCUCUUCCUUCUCAGAGGAAUGGCCCCAGCGGCUCAGCAGGAAGUUCAGAAGUCACUGCAAUGAGCAAACAGACCUGAGCACACCCCAGCGCAGCCUGGAGUCCGGGAAAGAAUCAGUCACCAAGUUUUCUGAUGGCUUGGAAAUAUUCCACCCUGUCCCAAGACUGUCUAAACCAGGGGUGAGCAAACUAUGGCCCACAGGCCAUAUCCAGGCCUGGUUUUUUUUUGAAGUUGUACUGUACACAGCCAUAAAUACUGCCUAUGGCUGCUUUCUGGCUACAAAGUAGAACUGAAAUAGCUGAGACAGAGACCUACCCACAGACCAACUCUGCCCAUAGGGUAUCAUGAGGAUUAAACAUUUACCAUCUGACCAUUUAGACAAAGUUUGUCAACUCUGCCUCUAACCCACUGGGAUUAAAUGACCAAGGUCACUGUGUUCUGCUUAAA